rnacentral:piRNA from 1 species
UGGCAAUCUCUAGUAACUUUGGAGGUUUU